UACGAAGGGGGCUAGCGUUGUUCGGAAUUACUGGGCGUAAAGCGCGCGCAGGCGGUCUUCCAAGUCAGUGGUGAAAGCCCGGAGCUCAACUCCGGAACUGCCAUUGAAACUGUGAGACUGGAGUACGAGAGAGGUGAGUGGAAUUCCCAGUGUAGAGGUGAAAUUCGUAGAUAUUGGGAAGAACACCGGUGGCGAAGGCGGCUCACUGGCUCGUAACUGACACUGAGGCGCGACAGCGUGGGGAGCAAACAGG
rnacentral:rRNA from 1 species